rnacentral:rRNA from 1 species
GACGUAGGGCGCGAGCGUUGUCCGGAUUUAUUGGGCGUAAAGAGCUCGUAGGCGGCUUGGUAAGUCGGAUGUGAAAUCUCCAUGCUUAACGUGGAGCGGCCAUCUGAUACUGCUAUGGCUUGAGUCCGGUAGGGGCCCACGGAAUUCCUGGUGUAGCGGUGAAAUGCGCAGAUAUCAGGAGGAACACCGGUGGCGAAGGCGGUGGGCUGGGCCGGUACUGACGCUGAGGAGCGAAAGCGUGGGGAGCGAACAGG